CAGCAGCCGCGGUAAUACAGAGGGUGCAAGCGUUAAUCGGAUUUACUGGGCGUAAAGGGCGCGUAGGUGGUUAUGUAAGUGAGAUGUGAAAUCCCCGGGCUCAACCUGGGAACUGCAUCUUAUACUGCGUAGCUGGAGUGCAGUAGAGGGUAGUGGAAUUUCCGGUGUAGCGGUGAAAUGCGUAGAUAUCGGAAGGAACACCAGUGGCGAAGGCGGCUACCUGGACUGACACUGACACUGAGGCGCGAAAGCGUGGGGAGCAAACAGGAUUAGAUACCCCCGUAGUCCCUGUCUCUUAUAC
rnacentral:rRNA from 1 species